GAAUUCCUGGUGUAGCGGUGAAAUGCGCAGAUAUCAGGAGGAACACCGAUGGCGAAGGCAGGUCUCUGGGCUGUUACUGACGCUGAGGAGCGAAAGCAUGGGGAGCGAACAGGAUUAGAUACCCUGGUAGUCCAUGCCGUAAACGUUGGGCACAAGGUGUGGGGGGCAUUCCACGUCCUCCGCGCCGUAGCUAACGCAUUAAGUGCCCCGCCUGGGGAGUACGGCCGCAAGGCUAAAACUCAAAGGAAUUGACGGGGGCCCGCACAAGCGGCGGGAGCAUGCGGGAUUAAUUCGAUGCAACGCGAAGAACCUUACCAAGGCUUGACAUUCACCGGACCGCCCCGGAGACGGGGUCUCCCCUUUUGGGGGCCGGUGGACAGGUGGUGCAUGGUUGUCGUCAGCCUCGUGGUCGUG
rnacentral:rRNA from 1 species